rnacentral:rRNA from 1 species
GAUGAACGCUAGCGGCAGGCUUAACACAUGCAAGUCGAGGGGCAGCACGAUGUAGCAAUACAUUGGUGGCGACCGGCGCACGGGUGCGUAACACGUAUGGAAUCUGCCUUGUACUGGGAGAUAGCCCUCCGAAAGGAGGAUUAAUAUCCCAUAAUAGCUCGAGUGGCAUCACUUGGGUUUGAAAGCUCCGGCGGUACAAGAUGACCAUGCGCACGAUUAGCUAGUUGGUGAGGUAACGGCUCACCAAGGCUACGAUCGUUAGGGGGCCUGAGAAGGUUAUCCCCCAGACUGGUACUGAGACACGGACCAGACUCCUACGCGAGGCAGCAGUGAGGAAUAUUGCGCAAUGGAGGCAACUCUGACGCAGCCAUGCCGCGGGCAGGAAGAAGGCGCUACGCGUUGUAAACUGCUUUUAACCGGGAAGAAACCCCAGGACGUGUCCUGGGUUGACGGUACCGGAGGAAUAAGCACCGGCUAACUUCGUGCCAGCAGCCGCCGUAACAC